AAAAAAGCAAACCCUGAAUUUUCGUGUCCUGUCCGUCUCAUAUGAAAUUUUUUUAUAAUUCGUAUUUUCAUUGUUGUUAGAUGAUAAAACAUGAUUAAUAUUUUAUGCGUGACUUGUCUUUUUAAUUUUUUUCAUAAUUUUUUCAAAUAAGACGGACGGUCAAACGUUAGACACGGAAAUUAGGGUUUGUCUUUUU
rfam:Oryza sativa (indica cultivar-group) chromosome 3, whole genome shotgun sequence.